GACAAACGCUGGCGGCGUGCUUAACACAUGCAAGUCGAACGGAAAGGCCCUGCUUUUGUGGGGUGCUCGAGUGGCGAACGGGUGAGUAACACGUGAGUAACCUGCCCUUGACUUUGGGAUAACUUCAGGAAACUGGGGCUAAUACCGGAUAGGAGCUCCUGCUGCAUGGUGGGGGUUGGAAAGUUUUGGCGGUUGGGGAUGGACUCGCGGCUUAUCAGCUUGUUGGUGGGGUAGUGGCUUACCAAGGCUUUGACGGGUAGCCGGCCUGAGAGGGUGACCGGCCACAUUGGGACUGAGAUACGGCCCAGACUCCUACGGGAGGCAGCAGUGGGGAAUAUUGCACAAUGGGCGGAAGCCUGAUGCAGCAACGCCGCGUGCGGGAUGACGGCCUUCGGGUUGUAAACCGCUUUCGCCUGUGACGAAGCGUGAGUGACGGUAAUGGGUAAAGAAGCACCGGCUAACUACGUG
rnacentral:rRNA from 1 species